rnacentral:lncRNA from 1 species
GGGAAUCUGCUUUCUCUUGCAUCUCCAAUGCAAGCUCUAACAUUAGCUCCACUUCACCCAUCUCAGGCCGUGUAUCUCCCUUCUCACUGAUACAACAAUAAGCGAUAUCCACGAAUAUUUUGAAACACUCUGGAGCUAUCCUCCCUUUUAGAUGUGGGUCAAUUAUAUUAUAAAUGGUUCCUUUGCCUAUACAGUGACGGACCCAAUCAGGUAGACGUAGUUCAUACUCGUCCAAUGUUGGAUCAACCACCUCUCUAGCACACAAAAUUAAAUGGUUUAAUAGUCGCCACCAAUCUUUUUUUAUCUAGGUGUGAUUGAUCACCUAUUAACCCGAUUCUAAUCGACGAAGUCCUAAAUUAAUUUUAGGUCCGUCGAAAAAACGAGAACGGAUCCACGUCUUUUUAGAGAUAGGUUCGGGAGCGCGAUUACGCACGGAAAAGGGUUAGCACCUCCGUGGCGCCCGUUUCAUGAACGGUACCAUUUAAUCUUAAGUUAUCCUAUUAUAGCUUACUUUUGAUUUAAUCCCUACUUAUUAACUAAAUUUUUAUUAAAUUGACUGCCUGAGUCUUUUAUUUGGUUUUACGUAUGCAUGUGAUGCAAGCGUAAAAUGAUGUCAUGACUCAUUUAUUUUAAAAAUGGGGUCGGUAAUCUUUUAUUGAAAAAUUAUUCGAAGACCAUCCCAACGUUUUGGUGAAGUCUCGAAAUUCUCCUCACCUAGAGAUAUCCCCGGAAGAACUCGUCUCUACAAGCUCUUCGGGGAAAUCCCAUCAUCGGAAUUCUCGCACCAUUUGCAAGAUAAAUAUGGCGUGCUAUGACAGGAUAAAAUGCUGAUGUCUACAUGCACGCGUUUAUUGAAUUAGGUGGUUCAUAAUUCACUCAACUAUAUAUUUAAUAAUUUAUCAUUUUGUUUAUAUGUUUAUUAUUAUCUAUUUUUUUUCAUGGAUUAUUUAUUUAUUUUUAUAUUUUUUUUGCUUUCUACUUAAAUCCAUAUCCUUUAAUUAACGUUUUUUUCAUUAAUAUUUUACUUGAUUAUAUAGCUUAUCAAAUAAUUAAUUAAUUUAUUUUCUUUAACGAUUAAAUUAACUUUAUUUAGUAAUAUUUAUUUAAACUAAUUAACUAAUAUAAGUUCAAAUACAAUAUUAUGUAAAUCUAUUAUUUUUUAAUAUAUAUGUCAUUUUUUAACAAUGAUUAUUUGACUUAACAGGUAUUAGAGUUUAGAGUUCGGAUUUAUCCCGACGCUUCGGUGAAAAUUCGUCUUGAACUUCGCAUCCGAAAAACAUCCACCCGAAAGAGGCAACUCUUUGCCCCUUUUUUAAGCAGAAUUCUAUUAUUGUAUUAACUCAAAUUAACCACUUGAUUUUUUUAAAACUUGUAAUUUAAUAUUAUAUUGUACAUUCUAUAUAUUUAUAAAUACCUAGAACAUUUUAUUUUCUCUUGCCUUUACAACUAAUUAUAAUUUAUUCUCAUUUUUUUUCUUUUUAUUUUUUUAGACCCAUUUCUAUUAUUUAUUAAUUAUUUUAUACAUAUUUAAAAAACUAAGUACUUUCUAAUCUUCCAUUUAAUUAAUUAAUAAUUUUUUUUGCCUUGUUCAUUCUCCUAUUUUUUGUUAUAUAUAUAUAUAUAUAUAUAUAUUUAUACAUGCAUAUCUAUUAAUUUACUACAUCUACUAUCUAUUGUAUUAAAGAUUUUCAUUUUUAGCUUUUAUAUGUUUUAUUUUUCAUAUGCAUAAAUUUCAAACAACACCAAAAAUAAUAAAACUAUUAUAACACUCAAACAAGAAAUUAAAUAAUCACUUUCAAUAACUCAAGCCCAAACCAUUAUUUAAUGAUUAAGUCCAAUACCUAUUGGGUUGUAGCUAACCCACUGCUCCAAAUGGGUUCAAGCUCCACUGGGCUUCAAAGGUCUCCUCCAAUUCGGUCUGGGCCCAAAGGGCCUGCUGCACUUGUUUUUUGGUUUGGGCUUGAAUAGUCCAAGAAUGCCUUAGCCCAAGGAAGAAAUCAAGCUUGUUGCAACAGCCCACUUAAUCCUCUUCAAUGUGCACCGUUUUUGGCUUCAAAAAAUGCUUCAAAACAACGUCGUUUUGGUCUUUUAUACCUAGGUAUAAAGCUUCUUUUUCUUUUCUCUCUCUUCACUUUCCUCUCUCACUUUCUCUCUCUUGCCGCCACUCUCUCUAUCUUCUCCUUAAGCUUUUCUUUUUUUUUUCUUUCUCCUUCUUCCUCUCUCUCCCAACCGUAACACUCCCACCACCGGCGCCUCUCUUUCCUUUCCUAUGCCGACCUCUCACCUCUCUCUCUCUCUUCGUCUUCUUCUUUUUUUUUUUUUGCUUUUUUUUGGGGGUUAAUUGUUGUGUUUUUUUUUGUUUCAGUUUUUUUUAUGGCUUUUUUUUUUUGCAGGAGAUGAAUCGGGUGCCCUUUGCUUUGCUCUCUCCUUUUCUUUAAAAAAUGGGGUUGUCCAAAAAAUUUGGACAACCCAGUAAUGGGGUUCUGGCACCAAAGAGUUGGUAGCCAGAGCCCCAUUACUCAUGGUGGUUGGGGAAGGGAUGGCUGGGCAUACGCCCAGCCAUACCUCUCUUUUUCUUGUGUUUUUAAUUAUUUUAUUAUUUUUAUUUUUUAUUUUAUUAUUAUAUAUAUUUUAGAGGUGUUUACACACACCUUUGAAAUGUACAACCGAUUCAACAAUUCUUUACUCAAUCUUUAUAUGGUAUCAAAGCCUCUCUAGCUCCAACGAGUCUUGUUCGAUCCUAUCCAUUGACCUUUUUCUUUUUUUUUUCAAAACAAAAAAACCAUGUCAGAAGCCAGCUCCAACCUCACAAACCAUGUCCCAGCAUCAAACUCUUCACUCUUAGACAGCUUGAUAACUAUCAAUGCCUCAUUACUACCAGUAAAACUUUCACAUACCAACUACCCCUCUUGGAAAUCCCAAUUCGAUGUCUUACUUCUCGGAUAUAAUCUUAUCAGUUUUGUAGAUGGGACAAAUCCAUGUCCUCUCAAGGAAAAGACUAUUGAUGGUAAAAUAGUCCCAACCACCUUCUUUGGUACCGUCAAGAUCAACUCCUUAAAAUAGGAAUCAUGACCUCUCUCACUGAGCUCAUCAUUCCAAUGAUUAGUUCUGCUAAAACAUCCAAAGACGUUUGGGAUCGUCUCUCUACUGCACUAGCAAGUGCCUCAACCUCUCGCAUCAUGGGCCUCACGGAUCAGUUAGCCAACAUCACUAAAGGAACCAUGACGGUCUCAGAAUAUAUUGGAAAAAUUCGCUCAAUAGCCGAUGAGCUAGCCCUUGCUGGAUCCGUUGUUCCCAACACUAACUUGAUUCUCCAUGUUCCAAAUGGAGUGGGAUCUGAAUACAAAGAUAUAGCUGCUGCUGUUCGAGCUCGCGACACACCAAUAAGUCUUGAGGAACUUCAUGAUAAACUCAUUGAAUAUGAGUCUUUUCUUGCACAAGAAGUGGCCAAACAUGCAAAUGGUUUCACUGCAAAUGCUGCUCAGUAUAAUCGCAACAAGUCCUCUCAUUCUCAAUACAACAAUCGGUCCAAUGAUCAACAUUCACAAUUUCGAUUCAACCAAUAUACAGAUCAUCACUCAAAUGGAAAUUCUAAGCAAAGCGGUGGCUACACAAAUAACAACAACAGUUCUAAACGAAACUUCUUUUUCCAAUACUGCAACAAAAAGGCCAUCUUGCCAAAGAUUGCCACACCCUCAAGCGCUUGCUGGGUAUUCUUGUUCCUCCUAAGGCCAAUCCCUGCGAGCACGUUAAGCUUUUUGUAAUUGUAAGCUUUUUGUAAUUGUUCAGGAACUUUACCACCUAUGCUUGAGUUUUAUGUCAAUAAAGUCUUUGACAUCAUAGUCUAAGACUUUGGUUGGGCAUACUUGCUUUGGUUCAAAUAAAUAACAACCACUUUUUAAAAAAUAAAAAAACGUAUACAUUUUCAUGGUCCAAUUAAAUAUAUAAUUUACACAUAAAAAAAUAUGGUAUGAUUCUGUUUAAACAUGAAAUUUCACAUGGUAAUGUUCACCAUUGAUCUUUCUUAAGACUCAUGUCAAAACAUGAAUUUUAUUCAUAGUGUUUUACAUUUAUAAAAAUACAAAAAUCGAGUACUUAAUAAGUAUUAUUAGAAAAGUUGUUAAUGUAAUUUUUAUAUUGAAUUAAAUAAAUAUGAUAUUUUGAAUAACAAAUUUCCAAAAUUAUCUUUUAUUGUGUAAUCUAAAUUAAAGUAGUAUUAAUAAAUUAGAUGGUCUACAUGUAAAACAUUGCUUGAUUAUUCAGGAGUUGGAUUUUUGCUGCACGUGUUUGGUGAACCCAAGUCCUUCUUGCCUCAAAUUGGUCGAUUUUUUUUAUUACAUUGAAUUAAUUAUGGAUUAAUUUAUUGGAAAAACUUGAAUUAACUUAGCUAAGCAUCAAUUAUAUGGCCUAAUUUAAAGACCAAUAGGGGCUAACCUUCAUCAAAUAUUGCUUGCCCUCUUAAAAUGUUCCACCUCCCUUUUUCUUUACACUGUUAAUCUAGUUGACUAAUGCUUUGUUUGUUUAUUUAUAAUUUCAAAGAGUUUGGUCUGAAAUACCAGCCAUAGUGUCAUACCCACAUAAACAAACAGCCUAAAAUACUAAAAUACCCAUAAAAAGACAAAAAAAACCAUAUAAAUAAUAUAUUAAGAUUUGAGAAAGAAGACUUAACAUGGACAUUUUAAAUUAGAGAUAGUUAUAUUUAUUAUUGAGAAAAAUUAUCAACAUAUAAAAAAAUUAAAAAAAAUUUAAGGCUUAUGAGAAUGAGAACAAGUAAACUGUUACCUUUCGAACUAGAUUAUUAAACCCAAAGGAGAAUUAAUUAAAUGGAAAAUGAAAAGGAAAGGAAAGGAAAGCAAAACUUGCCUUGAAUUGAAAGGUCACAUCUUACAUGGCCCCUCUUGGGGACACAAACUUGGUUGUCCAUUUUCUCCAAAACUUUCACAACUAAAAAACUUUGUAUUAAAAUCCUUUAACUUUAAUUUACAAAUCUCUCGAUUUUAGAAAAUGUGUAGAUUCAGGUACAGGACCACUAAUUGACAAUAUUGUUUAAAAAUGUAAAGAUAAAAAAAAAAACCAUGUUGUUACAAUUUUAAACUGGUAUCAAUAUCACAAACUGUGGUCAGAAACAGAUAUAGCAAAUGGUACUUCUCUAUGCAUACAUUCACUAUGAGGAUCAACAUCCCUCAUUUGGGAAUCUGCUUUCUCUUGCAUCUCCAAUGCAAGCUCUAACAUUAGCUCUACUUCACCCAUCUCAGGCCGUGUAUCUCCGUUCUCACUGAUACAGGAAUAAGCGAUAUCCACGAAUAUUUUCAAACACUCUGGAGCUAUCUUCCUCUUCAGAUGUGGGUCGAUUAUAUUAUAAAUGGUUCCUUUGUCUAUACACUGACAGACCCAACCAAGUAGAUAUUGUUCAUUCUCAUCCAAUAUUGGAUCAACCACCUUUCUACCACACAAAACUUCAAAUAAAACAACUCCAAAUGAGUACACAUCACUUUUUUCUGAAACUCCAUAACCUUUGAGACACUCAGGAUCCACAUAACCCUUAGUACCCGCCAAUGGUGAAUUAAUUUUUUUCAAAACUUUUGACGUGUUAGAGUAUGAAGGUUGUGGACGCAUCUUGGAGAACGUGAAACUAGAAAGCUUACUAACCCAUUUGUCAUCCAAAAGAAUAUUGCUGCUAUUGACGUCACGGUGAAUUACGGCAUGCUUUGCUCCGGUAUGAAGGUAAUGUAAUCCACGAGCUGCACCAAUACAUAUCUCUAGCCUCUGCUUCCAUGGCAGUGGAUCAUAAUUAGAACCAUAGAGAUGAUCACGGAGUGACCUGUUUUUCAUGAGUUCGUAUACAAGGAUCAACUCAUCCUUAUCAUUGCAGAACCCCAUAAGAGACACGAGAUGUUGGUGGCGCAGCUGGCAGAGCAAUUGCACUUCGGUUCGGAACUCACUGAGUGCAUCUCCUACUGAAUCUGGAAAGAAGCGUUUCACAGCAAUAAAGUUUCCAUCAUCAACAAUCCCUUUGAACACGCUUCCAAAAAAACCUUGAGCAAUAAGAGAUUUUGGAUGAAAAUUGCUGGUAGCAGCUUUGAUCUCGGUUAGAGAAAAUUGACGCUGACGGAUUUCCUCAGGAAGAGCUGCUGGAUAUCUUUUCCUAGCAUGCUUUUCAUUUCCCUUACUUACUGUUCCAUUGCCUGCUGUUUUGGUAAAGACUUUGAAGCACCUUGGAAGAAAAUGUGAAGGGUUUCCCAUGGGGGGAAGAAGUGAAGGAGAAAUGAGCAAGUCCGGAUCUGGAUUGAUAUUUGUGGUGUUAUCUCAUCAAGGAGAAGUCUUGCUUGACUUUGCUUUUGUCAUUCACGUACUUAAACCAUAGUUAAAGACUUUGGCUUCAAGAUCAUCACCGUCAAGAAAUCUAAACUUAAAAUGUCAAAAAACCCCCAUCGUAGAAGACAUGGAAUGACCCUAAUUUAAGUAUACAUUUCCAUACUUAGGCUCUUAGGCCUUUCUCUGUUCUCCAGCCGCCCGUCUUUCCUGGGAGCAGGUUAAGCCUUUUGUAAUUGUACAGGAACUUUACCACUUAUGCUUGAGUUUUAUGUCAAUAAAGUCUUUGACAUCAUAGUCUAAGACUUUGGUUGGGCAUGCUUGCUUUGGUUCGAAUAAAUAACAACCACUUUUUACAAAAUAAAAAAACGUAUACAUUUUCAUGGUCCAAUUAAAUAUAUAAUUUACACAUAAAAAAAUAUGGUAUGAUUCUGUUUAAACAUGAAAUUUCACAUAGUAAUAUUCACCAUUGAUCUUUCUUAAGACUCACGUCAAAACAUGAAUUUUAUUCAUAGUGUUCUACAUUUAUAAAAAUACAAAAAUCGAGUACUUAAUAAGUAUUAUUAGAAAAAUUGUUAAUGUAAUUUUUAUUUUGAAUUAAAUAAAUAUGAUAUUGUGAAUAACGAAUUUUCAAAAUUAUUUUUUAUUGUGUAAUCUAAAUUAAAGUAGUAUUAAUAAAUUUGAUGGUCUACAUGUAAAACAUUGCUUGAUUAUUCCGGAGUUGGAUUUUUAACAGCCUGACUCGGUUUUGGAUUUUGGCAGCACGUGUUUGGUGAAGCCAAAUUUACAAUUGCCACUAAUUUACAAUACUAUUUAAAAACGUAAAGAUUAAAAAAAAAAACUAUUUCGUUACAAUUUUAAACUGGUAUGAAUAUCACAAACUGUGAUCAGAAACAGGUAUAGAAAAUGAUACUUCUCUAUACAUACAUUCAUUAUGAGGAUCAACAUCCCUCAUUUGGGAAUCUAUUUUUUCUUGCAUCUCCAAUGCAAGCUCUAACAUGAGCUCCACUUCACCCAUCUCAGGCCGUGUAUCUCCCUUCUCACUGAUACAGCAAUAAGCGAUAUCCACGAAUAUUUUGAAACACUCUGGAGCUAUCUUCCUCUUCAGAUGUGGGUCGAUUAUAUCAUACAUGGUUCCUUUGCCUAUACACUGACGGACCCAAUCAGGUAGAUGUAUUUCAGACUGGUUUAAUGUUGGAUCAACCACC